GAUGAACGCUGGCGGCGUGCCUAAUACAUGCAAGUCGAGCGAACAGAUGAGGAGCUUGCUCCUCUGACGUUAGCGGCGGACGGGUGAGUAACACGUGGAUAACCUACCUAUAAGACUGGGAUAACUUCGGGAAACCGGAGCUAAUACCGGAUAAUAUAUUGAACCGCAUGGUUCAAUAGUGAAAGACGGUUUUGCUGUCACUUAUAGAUGGAUCCGCGCCGCAUUAGCUAGUUGGUUAGGUAACGGCUUACCAAGGCAACGAUGCGUAGCCGACCUGAGAGGGUGAUCGGCCACACUGGAACUGAGACACGGUCCAGACUCCUACGGGAGGCAGCAGUAGGGAAUCUUCCGCAAUGGGCGAAAGCCUGACGGAGCAACGCCGCGUGAGUGAUGAAGGUCUUCGGAUCGUAAAACUCUGUUAUUAGGGAAGAACAAAUGUGUAAGUAACUAUGCACGUCUUGACGGUACCUAAUCAGAAAGCCACGGCUAACUACGUG
rnacentral:rRNA from 1 species